rnacentral:lncRNA from 1 species
AACAAAUCAUCCAGGCUAUCCCACUUCUGUAGCCUGCCCACAGCUUUCCCAAGCCAACAGCCUCCAACUGGGGCAUUUGCCUAUUCUCCUCUGGGUUGCUUGCAUUUAUUUCCACCUAGGGGAACAAUGAGGUGAGCCCCAUGAAUACCCCAGUCCAUUGCCUGCAAGGAGUUUCCAUGCCACAACACAGGGAGGGUGCUAAAGUGAAGCCCGCCAGUCUCCCAAAGUGGAACAGACAGAGCUCCACGGAGCCUGGUGAGGUCAGGGUGACUGCAGUCAAUGGAGCAGAAUCUGGGAGAGGAGAGAGCUGUACAGAAGAGACUAGAGGAAGGAGGGCUGCAGGAACUUGGAGUACUACAUGUAAUAACAUACUGGUCAUCACUCUUGGCAAAUAUUGAAAGCUUCACUUGGUCCCUGACACCUAAAGGAUAAAGAAGAGCUUGAUGAUCUGAUGUGAGGUCUGGAGAUCAGAAGUCCAAAAAAUGGGUCUCACUGAGCUACAAUCAAGGUGUCAACAGGCUGUGUCCUUUCCUGGAGGCUCUGGGAGAGAAUCGGUAUCCUUGCUCUUUUCCCACUUCGAGAGGCUGCCACAUUCCUUGGCUGGUGGCUCCUUCCUCCAUCUUCAAAGCCAGCGACAGAUGGUGAAUGGAGUCCUUUCACGUGGCUCACUCUGCCCUUGUUCCUGCUGUCACAUCCCCCCUUCUCUGUCUGACUUUUCUGUCCCCUUCCUCCACUCUUGUCAUUACCUUGGGCCCAUCUGAAAAUCCUGGAUCGUCCCCCUAAUUAAAGUCAGUGGACUAGCAACUUUAAUUCCAUCUGCAACCUUAGUUCCCUUCUGUCAUGUAGCCUAACCUCAUCACGAGUGUCAGGGAUUUGCACGUGGACAUCCUCAGGGACCCCAUCGUGAGUGGUUGGGGGGAUGUGGCCAGAAAGAAGGCAGUGGCAGAAUGCCCAAGAACUCUGCAGCUGCGCUGAGGCAUCUGAGAGCCAAGGAGGAAACCUUCUUUGUGGUUAAGUAAGAAUGAACUAAUAUCCAUCUGGCAUUUGGCAUUUUACACUGCACUUUUUGUACAUUAUCUCAUUGGAUCUUAAAAACAG